rnacentral:rRNA from 1 species
AGUGAGCGGCAAAGCUCAAUUUGAAUCUAGCACCUUCGGUGUUCGAGUUGUAAUUUGAAGAUAGUCUCCUUGAUAGUCCUUUAUCUAUGUUCCUUGGACAGGACGUCAUAGAGGGUGAGAACCCCGUAUGAUUUUGGAUCCUACUCUCUGUGGGAGUCUUUCGAAGA